UAUACGUUACUGUUCAAAAGUUUGGGGUCAGUACGAUUUCUUAUUUUUGAAUGAAGUCUCUCACGCUCAUUAAGGCUGCAUUUAUUUUUUAUCAAAAAUACAGUAAAAACAGUAACACUGUGAAAAAUUAUUGCAAAAUAGCUGUUUUCUAUUUGAAUAUUUUAAAAUGUAAUUUAUUUCUGUGAUGGCAAAGCAUUACUCCAGUCUCCACUGUCACAGGAUCGUUCUAAUAUCCUGAUUUGAUGCUCAAAAAAAGAAAAAAAAAAAAAAGAAAAAUAGUGCUGGUUAAUAUUUUUUGUGGAAACCAUGAAUUUUUUUCCAGGAUUCUUUGAUAAAUAGAAAGUUCAAAAGAACAGCUUUUUUUUUUUUUUUUUUUUUUUAAUAGAAACCGUUUGUAACAUUAUAAAUGUCUUUACUGUCACUUUUGAUCAAUGAGUCCUUACUGAUUUUUUUUUUUUUUUUAAUCUUACUGACCCCAACAUUUUAAACGGUAGUAGUAGUGUACUAAACACUACACUUCUGUAUUACAUGUACUAGACUGAAGUACAGUUCCAUUCUAUUGUAUUUACUAAUGUAAUGUUUUCGUCCGUGUAACAUUUGCAUGUGUACCGUAGACUGUAGAGCGGUACUUUCAUUUGAAGACGCGGUGCAUCGAGAUGCGCUAACCGGAGCCGAACACCUUUACCUGUUGCACUCGCGUCUCGCGCAUGACACGGCAUUUGAGUGGCGCAUAGAACACAAAACUGAUGGAAGCGGCUCCGGUGAAGAACAGUGUCUGGAUCUAAAUCCUUCAGACGACACACAGAUAAUAUCUACCUCGCUCAGGUCCUGAAGCGGAGAGCUGUGUUGGUAUGGUAACAGGAAUAUCAGCAGAGGGGGGAAGGGAGAAAGGGAAGGAGUUGAGGAGAGGUGAGAGAAGGAGAAUGAGGAAAAGAGCAGAGAGACAGGAAAAGCAGAGAUGUGAGCAGCGUGCCCCCUGAUGAGUCACCUCUGUCAUCAGAGCACCGCAAAGGGAGAGAAAGACACACACACACAGAGAGAGAGAGAGAGAGACAGACAGCAUCUCUUCUGCAAAGUCUCACCCCAUCCUCAACCCCCACCACAAACACACACACAAACGUAACAAAAAUCGACAGACUUGAAGAUGAAAAUUUACAUUUUUAUCUUUUUUACUCACUCUCUUUCGUUCACUCCAACUAUCUACCCCCUCCCCCAUCUCUCUCUUUCGCUCUCUCAGAAUCAAAUUUCUAAGAUCCAAAGCGUAUCGAAUGUGCGGCAUUUCUUUGUGCACUGAAGAGAGGAGAGGAACAGUGAUGCUUUCUGAAAUACCAGAGGAAGUGGAAGACUCCCCCAGCAGAGCAGCAAAAUUAUGGAAAUAGAUAAAUAAAUG